UACGGAGGGUGCGAGCGUUGUCCGGAAUCAUUGGGCGUAAAGGGCGCGUAGGUGGCGGGACAAGCGUGCGGUGAAAGCUCGGGGCUCAACCCCGAGUCGGCCGUGCGGACUGUUUGCUUGAGCACUGUAGAGGCAGGCGGAAUUCCGGGUGUAGCGGUGGAAUGCGUAGAGAUCCGGAAGAACACCGGUGGCGAAGGCGGCCUGCUGGGCAGUAGCUGACACUGAGGCGCGACAGCGUGGGGAGCAAACAGG
rnacentral:rRNA from 1 species